CUUAAUUAGGGAACAUAAGCGACGUCUCUUGUGAGCUCUAUCUUCUCCCUCUUUCGAUUUCCCGAGCUUCAGAUUAACAAACAUGGGCACCACUGGAAACAAGAAUAUCAACGCCAAACUGAUAACAUUUUCAACGCAAUUGCUAAGCUGGGAUUUACUGAGCCAACACCAAUACAAGCUCAGGAAUGGCCAAUGGCUUUAAAGGGUAGGGAUUUAAUUUGGCUAUUUCUCCACCUUCUCCGACUACAAGCAAUGUGUCAUCUCCUUCUCCUUGUGAUGUUAAAGUAGGUGAAGAACCUGUUUCUUUGACUAAGAGAAGAUUCAGGUCUAAGAAUAUUGAACCUAUACCUUUUUGGAAAAUGCAGGUGGUUCCUUUCAAUGGAAAAUUGGUUAAGGCCAAAAAGAGGUGCCAUUGGUGUGGAACCAGAGGAUGUGAGGAUUUGGUUAGCUGUUUGAGUUGUGGAAGAGAGUUCUUUUGUGUAGAUUGUAUCGAUAAAAGGUAUCUUGAGUUAUUAUGUUUACUCUCGUACUUAUCUUGUUUACAGAGAGCACUGGUCUUUCUCAUUAGAGUUUAGAAUCAUCAUCUAGAUUAGUAGUUCCAUCAUAACAUAGUUAUAAUAAGAAGUAAUUCCAGUAGAUUCAAUUAGUUUUAUGGAGCUAGGAUGUAGAGACGAUUAAUCAUUAACCUACGGUAAAAUGUUAGGAUACUCUUUCCUGCAAUUCUCAGCUGCAGUAACUUCAUUUGAGAUUGUUUCUGCAACUUCCUUGUUUCUAAUUUGCUUUCUUGUCUGUUUUUUGUUUCUACCCUAAAUAAGAAACUAGCAUUGGAGUGAAAAAUCAUUGUGUCUCUUAACUAGAGUUCUUAGUUACAUUUAAUUACUAAAAUAUUCAUUAAGAGACUCUAAUGGUUUUGUGGGUUAAUCAUGCUCUAAUUGGGAAACGGAAGCCCGACGAGAGAGAUGUCCACAUACUUUAGAACUAACGCAGAUCUGUAAAACAAAGGCUCUAAUAUAUACAAGUUAUCCAAGAUUUGGAGAAUGAUUGGUAAAGACUAAAGAGCUCGACGGUAUGGGUUACUUUGAACUGUCGGUGUUUAGCUUUGAGAUAACGCGUGGUUUGUUGAAAGCCGGAGAUAUGAAGAAGAUAAAACGUGCAAGGCCGGUCAACAAGGAACCAAUCUCCCCGGUACAGAUAUGAUCGUGACUUUAUAGGUGGCCAGGUUCUUGGCUCGUGACAUAAAGAGAGUUGGAAUCGUUUUGUUUAAUAAAGAGAGUCUUUGUGACUAUGUACUUAAAGAUAAUUUUAUUGUUUUCCUGACUGUGUUAUGUCUCUCUGGUGAUAUGAUGAUAUGAUUAAACUAAAGACUGACUCGAUAUGGUUUUGCUAUAUCCCUUAUGUAUUAAAGUUUAAUACAUAA